rnacentral:rRNA from 2 species
GGCAUAAGCCAGCUUGACUGCGAGCGUGACGGCGCGAGCAGGUGCGAAAGCAGGUCAUAGUGAUCCGGUGGUUCUGAAUGGAAGGGCCAUCGCUCAACGGAUAAAAGGUACUCCGGGGAUAACAGGCUGAUACCGCCCAAGAGUUCAUAUCGACGGCGGUGUUUGGCACCUCGAUGUCGGCUCAUCACAUCCUGGGGCUGAAGUAGGUCCCAAGGGUAUGGCUGUUCGCCAUUUAAAGUGGUACGCGAGCUGGGUUUAGAACGUCGUGAGACAGUUCGGUCCCUAUCUGCCGUGGGCGCUGGAGAACUGAGGGGGGCUGCUCCUAGUACGAGAGGACCGGAGUGGACGCAUCACUGGUGUUCGGGUUGUCAUGCCAAUGGCACUGCCCGGUAGCUAAAUGCGGAAGAGAUAAGUGCUGAAAGCAUCUAAGCACGAAACUUGCCCCGA